GAAGAUAUUGGAAAAGAUAAGAGUGUGGAAAAAGUUUCGUGAAAAUAAAAAAAUCCGCUACAAGUCACCAGUUAAUGAUUGUCCACCAAUGUUUGAAGAAAUGCCCAAAUCAAGGAUGGAUUAACCACAAGGCAGAAAUAAUCAUCUGUUAGCCAAUGUAAAAGCAACUAUCGGCAUCACAAGGGGCGAAAAUGUCCAAUUCCAACUUUUGUCC
rnacentral:lncRNA from 1 species